UCAGGAUGAACGCUGGCGGCGUGCCUAAUACAUGCAAGUCGAGCGAACGGACGAGAAGCUUGCUUCUCUGAUGUUAGCGGCGGACGGGUGAGUAACACGUGGAUAACCUACCUAUAAGACUGGGAUAACUUCGGGAAACCGGAGCUAAUACCGGAUAAUAUUUUGAACCGCAUGGUUCAAAAGUGAAAGACGGUCUUGCUGUCACUUAUAGAUGGAUCCGCGCUGCAUUAGCUAGUUGGUAAGGUAACGGCUUACCAAGGCAACGAUGCAUAGCCGACCUGAGAGGGUGAUCGGCCACACUGGAACUGAGACACGGUCCAGACUCCUACGGGAGGCAGCAGUAGGGAAUCUUCCGCAAUGGGCGAAAGCCUGACGGAGCAACGCCGCGUGAGUGAUGAAGGUCUUCGGAUCGUAAAACUCUGUUAUUAGGGAAGAACAUAUGUGUAAGUAACUGUGCACAUCUUGACGGUACCUAAUCAGAAAGCCACGGCUAACUACGUGCCAGCAGCCGCGGUAAUACGUAGGUGGCAAGCGUUAUCCGGAAUUAUUGGGCGUAAAGCGCGCGUAGGCGGUUUUUUAAGUCUGAUGUGAAAGCCCACGGCUCAACCGUGGAGGGUCAUUGGAAACUGGAAAACUUGAGUGCAGAAGAGGAAAGUGGAAUUCCAUGUGUAGCGGUGAAAUGCGCAGAGAUAUGGAGGAACACCAGUGGCGAAGGCGACUUUCUGGUCUGUAACUGACGCUGAUGUGCGAAAGCGUGGGGAUCAAACAGGAUUAGAUACCCUGGUAGUCCACGCCGUAAACGAUGAGUGCUAAGUGUUAGGGGGUUUCCGCCCCUUAGUGCUGCAGCUAACGCAUUAAGCACUCCGCCUGGGGAGUACGACCGCAAGGUUGAAACUCAAAGGAAUUGACGGGGACCCGCACAAGCGGUGGAGCAUGUGGUUUAAUUCGAAGCAACGCGAAGAACCUUACCAAAUCUUGACAUCCUUUGACAACUCUAGAGAUAGAGCCUUCCCCUUCGGGGGACAAAGUGACAGGUGGUGCAUGGUUGUCGUCAGCUCGUGUCGUGAGAUGUUGGGUUAAGUCCCGCAACGAGCGCAACCCUUAAGCUUAGUUGCCAUCAUUAAGUUGGGCACUCUAAGUUGACUGCCGGUGACAAACCGGAGGAAGGUGGGGGAUGACGUCAAAUCAUCAUGCCCCUUAUGAUUUGGGCUACACACGUGCUACAAUGGACAAUACAAAGGGCAGCGAAACCGCGAGGUCAAGCAAAUCCCAUAAAGUUGUUCUCAGUUCGGAUUGUAGUCUGCAACUCGACUACAUGAAGCUGGAAUCGCUAGUAAUCGUAGAUCAGCAUGCUACGGUGAAUACGUUCCCGGGUCUUGUACACACCGCCCGUCACACCACGAGAGUUUGUAACACCCGAAGCC
rnacentral:rRNA from 1 species